CAGCGCCGCGGGAAUACGUAGGUGGCAAGCGUUGUCCGGAAUUAUUGGGCGUAAAGGGCUCGCAGGCGGUUUCUCAAGUCUGAUGUGAAAGCCCCCGGCUCAACCGGGGAGGGUCAUUGGAAACUGGGAAACUUGAGUGCAGAAGAGGAGAGUGGAAUUCCACGUGUAGCGGUGAAAUGCGUAGAGAUGUGGAGGAACACCAGUGGCGAAGGCGACUCUCUGGUCUGUAACUGACGCUGAGGAGCGAAAGCGUGGGGAGCGAACAGGAUUAGAGACCCGCGUAGUCCCUGUCUCUUAUACA
rnacentral:rRNA from 1 species